AGGAAUGCGCAUUGAAAGAAGUCCAGAUUAGAGGCCCAUUCCACACCUGCGCCCAGAAACGGGGUUCCGCCCCGCGCAAAGUACGCUGCACUGGAAGCCAUGUUCGACAGACUCGCGUCAGCCCGAACGGAAGGCAAUCGGUGAAACCCAGAAGCGUGGCCACGAGAAGAAACGGGGCGUCCGGGAUCUGGCGCUCCCAGCAAAAAAAGGCGACGCACGCUAUCGCUGUUGUGGUGCCUUUCGUCCAGGCUGGGUCCAGGUGGGGUGUGUACGGACACCCCGCGGAGAGAUGCAAAGACGAUGCGGCGAGGCUUCCGGACUGUUAGAAAUCCGCGAAGCGCGUGUGCGGCUCUGGUACGAGGCACUUUCCGAGGCGACUUGCCAUGCGAAUUAAACUAGUGGACCGGAAAAAGUGAGCGGACGCAGCCGGAAUCCGCGCACGGUUGGUGUGCGGAGAACCCGGACGAGCACGAAAAAUCAGACUGGAGAAACGGGAGUUGAGAAGGAGAAAAAAAGAAGGAUGACGCCAACCACACGAAACGCAAAAACCGCGGGCACAGGCUGGAGAACAGAUUACGGACACGCUGCGUUCGGCGAGCAGGUCACACAACACCAGGAAGGUUCGCACGAGGACAGAGGCAUCGAUGACACCAGACGCAACGAAAUUUUCCCAGUUCAGGACAGUCGAAAACGAAACACUAAGACGAGGAGGAAGUCAGGUCAGCACGAAGCUGAGAUCUCCUGCACACUGCUGUCGACGUGGAACUUUCCCGUGGCGAUUAGGCACCGCGAACGUUGCGAGGUCGGACAAAUGAUGCGAACAAUUUCUUAGUAGACGAAUACGGAAUCUGCACACGCAUUUUGUGCAUGUUGCUAGAAACAAGGAUUUGUGUCCCACUCGCAAUUCUUUGUCUCGAGCACGACGGGAAUAAUUCCUGGAGUGUGUAUAUACGUGGAGGCCGCAGGUCUCAGUCCGUUCUUCUCAGUUCAGAGAGAGAACACCAGGGGUACGAACGCAUCUGCCUGGCAGUUUUGCGGUUUCUCAGCAACGGGGCGAAAAAGAUGCGUGGUGACAACGGCAGAAAGUGUGCAAGCUUUUGAAAAUUCCGGCGGGCAGCGGGGGGGAACAGUAUCGAAGAAACGCCGGUGUCUUCAAGGGGACAGGCGAUUUAAACUGCACAGACGCUUUUUCGGUCAGCGCGCACCGCGUUUCUGCGAGUUAAAAAAAAGGGACUGAAAGCUACAGGGGGAAGAAUACGGAAAACAUACUCACGGAAGUCACCCCGCAGAAACGUCCAAAUGGCACCGCUUCGAAGAUCCUGCGUUUUCGAUGCAGUGUGUACGAAGUUGGCCUGGGUACAAACGUACAGAUG
rnacentral:lncRNA from 1 species